rnacentral:rRNA from 1 species
GACGAACGCUGGCGGCGUGCUUAACACACGCAAGUCGAACGGAAAGGCCCUGCUUUUGUGGGGUGCUCGAGUGGCGAACGGGUGAGUAACACGUGAGUAACCUGCCCUUAACUUUGGGAUAACUUCAGGAAACUGGGGCUAAUACCGGAUAGGAGCUCCUGCUGCAUGGUGGGGGUUGGAAAGUUUCGGCGGUUGGGGAUGGACUCGCGGCUUAUCAGCUUGUUGGUGGGGUAGUGGCUUACCAAGGCUUUGACGGGUAGCCGGCCUGAGAGGGUGACCGGCCACAUUGGGACUGAGAUACGGCCCAGACUCCUACGGGAGGCAGCAGUGGGGAAUAUUGCACAAUGGGCGGAAGCCUGAUGCAGCAACGCCGCGUGCGGGAUGACGGCCUUCGGGUUGUAAACCGCUUUCGCCUGUGACGAAGCGUGAGUGACGGUAAUGGGUAAAGAAGCACCGGCUAACUACGUG